rnacentral:hammerhead_ribozyme from 1 species
AGCCGAAACGCGGGACGACCCGCGUCUGCCGGAUUUCCUCCCGGCACUGACGAGGCAGGAACCU